UGGAAGAUCCAGACCAAGCUGCCUGUCAGAGCCGUGAUGGUCUCCGCCAACAGUGAGCAAAAGCACAGUGACUCCUUGUCCUUCAGCCCCAAGAAAGUUAAUCUGCUGUCGGCCAGGGAUUAUGAGGAGGACUUAGGGGAAUCCUUACUAUUGAAACGACGAUGGUGAACUGCACAGGCAUCUUCAGUGAGAAAGGUACCUUUGUCAACUACCGAUGCAUCAAUCUGCCUGCUCUCAUAGCAACCUCCAUUUCAAAGAAGGAAAGACACUAUACAUGCACACCUCAACUUUUUCAAAGUUGAGUCUUGUACCAAUCAAAAGAACAAACGGCCUAAAAUUUUAAAGCGACAUGUUCAGAGAUUCGGGAAAAUACUCACGUUCGAAGCCCGGCAUUUUCCAGCACCAGUUCUUCCAGUCGAUUGGACCUACUCACCACUCUCAAGAUCUGUUCACAGACAUCUGCGGACUGCAACAGAGAACACUUGCUGACCAUGCUGUAACUCUGGUGAAAAAUAUUUCACUGGAGUGCCGUAAGUCUACAGAACUGAAGUAAAUGUGACACCCAACCAUAUACACAUUCACUCAAAAACUAGUCGGGGGACAGUCCCACUGUGCACCACCAUGAAGACCUGGGGACAUCAUUUCUCCCAGUCUUUACCCAAUGGUUUAAUGUCACAAAAUACAGUCUCCGAGUGUGCUACUCUUCAAGGAACUCUUCAAGGAAAAGAUAAGAAUGCUGUGGUCUGAGCUCAUGCCAAGCCCCGUCCCCUCACUCAUAUUGAAACAUAACCAACUAUGUGAUGGUAUCAGCUGGUGGGUUUGGAAGGAAGGACACCUACUCAAGAAAUGAACUGUGUGCAGCUCACCACCACGGAAACAAAAUGCAAUCUUUCUAAUGAUGAUCAGCUUUUUGAAGUUCAGCCAAGCUGCAUCGCCAGCGACUUACCAGCUUGAGAUCCUUAGAGGACAGUUUGGUGAACCACUGAUUAUAUUCCAGGGCAGCAAUGAUGGGGAUCAGGUCUCUAGAAGCAAAACGAAUGAAGAACAUGAGUUUGGUCCUGCAAAGUAGCCACAGUGAUGCUCUAGUUCUAGAUUCACAAGCACAAGAAUCUGAGAGGCCCGGAGAGGCUGUUCCCACAGCAAAGAUAACGCCUCAUACACUCCGACAGUAAGUACCACCUAACAGAUUCUCGGCGCUCAGCAGGCAUCCUGCAACCAUUUGGUAGCUUUUCCACUUCCCAGCAGUGAUCCCAUUAAUGAGACAGAGCACGUGUGAUUAUCUCUGAGACUUCACGAGAGCUCGCAAGCUACGAGGUAAAGCUUUGCGUGUGGAUUCCCUGCCUCUACACCAUUUUCCCAGCCACUGGACCCUACCAUGCAUUCUUCACUCCCACUCCAAACAAAAGGCUGACAGUUCCUGACUCGUCCAUCACACCAUGAGCCUCACAGGUGGAAUCCCCCUUCACGGCUCAACAGUGUUCUGGAAGUGUGCAUGCCCUUUGAUGCCUUCACCACGCACCCCCUUUUCCAUAUGUCUUCCUGGUGCCCGCCUCCCCCAUCCCCAGCAUAAAGCAUUCUUCCACAUUUCGAUCUCUCAGAUUCACUGCUUCAGCAUCUGACUCCCACAACCUCAGACUGUAAAUCUUUGAAACCCAAGCACCAAUUUUAGUCGCGCAGAUAAAAUUGAUAAGAUGCAGAGCUGCAAUAUCCCCCGGAACAGCAAAGACAGGCAGAAGGUGCGAAGAGCUGAGAAAUCCAAUCGAGCUUGAGAGCCUCAAGCAAAGUGCCUCAGCUAAACCCCCCCAACACGCCAGGAGGUGAUGUUUAUGCUUCACAGGCAAAGGGAAUGACCCACAGAGACCUGAAGUGAGACUGGACCAGAGAGAGAAGGAGACUCUUUAUUAAAAUGAUCUCCCCCCUCUUGAAGGACACGUUAGUCACAUACAACAGUAGACUUCACUCUGACAUAUCUGUGUGUGCACAUGCUACGCUUUGACCAUACCUCCCCAUUACUCCUCACCUCCACUCCACCAUCCUCGUGCCCGGUUUCCUGUUCCCUGGGAGAGCCACUUCCACUUUCCUGUUGUUCUUCCCCCAACUCUCUCCCUCCUCCCCCCCCCACCAAAGCUCAGGUUCCACGCAUGAGGGCGUGGGAGGAAUACAUGAUGCUUGUCUUCCCGAAUCUUGAUUUAUUUCUCUUAACAUGCUGAGCUAUGCAAUCCGUCCAUUUUCCUGCAUGUGAUACGAUUUCAUUCUUCUUUGUGGCUGAAUGAAAUUACAUUGUGGAAAUAGCCCAUCUUUUCUGUACUCAGUCUUCUAUAAACAGAUACCUAGGCUGACUGUAUAAGCUGACUACAAUAGAUAGGUAGGUAAAUAGAUAGACAGACAGAAAGCUAAAUAAAAGCGUAUGUCACUGAUAUAUUCUGACUCUGGUCCCUAAGAGUUUUUGCACACAAAACGGCAGCUCGUGCCUGAUUUUGAAGCAUCAUGUGUGACCUCAUCAGACAUGAGUGAGAAGAUGAGAUGCAGGAUCACAGGCGUCCCAGAAAUACAAUGCAAUCCACAGGGCCCACCUGCCAGGUUUUCUGUUCACACCUCUCUCCAUUAAGUUGCUUAAUGUUAUUCUCAAGAUAAGAUUAAAAUCCAGGCACAGUGACUCAAACCUGUAAUCAUGCCACUUGGAAAGUG